rnacentral:rRNA from 1 species
UUGAACGCUGGCGGUAUGCUUAACACAUGCAAGUCGAACGGAAACGAUACUAGCUUGCUAGUAGGCGUCGAGUGGCGGACGGGUGAGUAACGCGUAGGAAUCUGCCUGAUAGUGGGGGAUAGCCCGAAGAAAUUCGGAUUAAUACCGCAUAAUCUAUUCGUAGUAAAGUGGGGGACUUUCGAGCCUCACGCUAUCAGAUGAGCCUGCGUAAGAUUAGCUAGUUGGUAGGGUAAAAGCCUACCAAGGCGACGAUCUUUAGCUGGUCUGAGAGGAUGAUCAGCCACAUCGGGACUGAGACACGGCCCGAACUCCUACGGGAGGCAGCAGUGGGGAAUAUUGGACAAUGGGGGCAACCCUGAUCCAGCAAUACCGCGUGUGUGAAGAAGGCCUGAGGGUUGUAAAGCACUUUCAAUUGUGAAGAAAAGCUAGUGGUUAAUAGCCAUUAGCCUUGACGUUAACUUUAGAAGAAGCACCGGCUAACUCCGUGCCAGCAGCCGCGGUAAUACGGAGGGUGCAAGCGUUAAUCGGAAUUACUGGGCGUAAAGCGUGCGUAGGCGGUUUAUUAAGUCAGAUGUGAAAGCCCCGGGCUUAACCUGGGAACUGCAUUUGAAACUGGUCAACUAGAGUAUGGUAGAGGAAAGUGGAAUUUCUGGUGUAGCGGUGAAAUGCGUAGAUAUCAGAAGGAACAUCAAUGGCGAAGGCAACUUUCUGGACCAAUACUGACGCUGAGGUACGAAAGCGUGGGUAGCAAACAGGAUUAGAUACCCCUGGUAGUCCACGCCGUAAACGAUGAUAACUAGCCGUUGGGGGGAUUUACCCCUUAGUGGCGAAGCUAACGCGUUAAGUUAUCCGCCUGGGGAGUACGGCCGCAAGGUUAAAACUCAAAGGAAUUGACGGGGACCCGCACAAGCGGUGGAGCAUGUGGUUUAAUUCGAUGCAACGCGAAGAACCUUACCUGGUCUUGACAUCCUGCGAACUUUCUAGAAAUAGAUUGGUGCCUUCGGGAACGCAGUGACAGGUGCUGCAUGGCUGUCGUCAGCUCGUGUCGUGAGAUGUUGGGUUAAGUCCCGUAACGAGCGCAACCCCUAUCCUUAUUUGCCAGCACAUCAUGGUGGGAACUAUAAGGAGACUGCCGGUGAUAAACCGGAGGAAGGCGGGGACGACGUCAAGUCAUCAUGGCCCUUACGACCAGGGCUACACACGUGCUACAAUGGGAAGGACAAAGAGCCGCGAAGCCGCGAGGUGUAGCUAAUCUCAGAAACCUUUUCGUAGUCCGGAUUGGAGUCUGCAACCCGACUCCAUGAAGUCGGAAUCGCUAGUAAUCGUAGAUCAGAAUGCUACGGUGAAUACGUUCCCGGGUCUUGUACACACCGCC